rnacentral:lncRNA from 1 species
CCCCCGCCACUAUAGAGGAGAAAAUUAAGUGUUACCCUUGUCCGUCUCAUCGCCCGACAGUCCGUACGCUGUAUAACUCUAGUUUUCCCCAACCAAUAGUAUAUAAAACUUAUAUGCAAUACUUUGCACCACAAAACACAGAAAAAAUUAAUCUGGGUUGUGUCAAUUUUUCCGUUCUAUCGUUAUGCCCCUUUAGAAAUGAAAAAAUAGCCGAAUUUUUUGUUUCCAUUUUCUAAGUUAUGUUUGCCUCAACAAAAUGUUAUGAAAAUUACAAAAUACUUAUAACCCCAAAACUCAGAUCAAGUUGAAAUAGCGGGUCAUCAUACAUUUAUGUGUCCCGUGGACUAAACUUGAAUUGUGGCGAAGAAAAUGAACAUGAAGCAACGACGCCGAGAAAUAUGUGUGAGGCUUCAGUUAGCUGACACGUCGAUUCUUGUUCGAGAGGCCUGAGAGACAGUUGCGGGAUGUUUUUUUUUUUUUUUCUUGUAGAAAAAAAAUGCCUUAAUUUGGCAAAAGGGUCUAAGAGAACUGAAAAUUGUA